rnacentral:rRNA from 1 species
GAUGAACGCUGGCGGCGUGCCUAAUACAUGCAAGUCGAGCGAACAGACGAGGAGCUUGCUCCUCUGACGUUAGCGGCGGACGGGUGAGUAACACGUGGAUAACCUACCUAUAAGACUGGGAUAACUUCGGGAAACCGGAGCUAAUACCGGAUAAUAUAUUGAACCGCAUGGUUCAAUAGUGAAAGACGGUUUUGCUGUCACUUAUAGAUGGAUCCGCGCCGCAUUAGCUAGUUGGUAAUGUAACGGCUUACCAAGGCAACGAUGCGUAGCCGACCUGAGAGGGUGAUCGGCCACACUGGAACUGAGACACGGUCCAGACUCCUACGGGAGGCAGCAGUAGGGAAUCUUCCGCAAUGGGCGAAAGCUUGACGGAGCAACGCCGCGUGAGUGAUGAAGGUCUUCGGAUCGUAAAACUCUGUUAUUAGGGAAGAACAAAUGUGUAAGUAACUAUGCACGUCUUGACGGUACCUAAUCAGAAAGCCACGGCUAACUACGUG